rnacentral:snoRNA from 1 species
CCCAGCUGUAGGCAACUGCCUAGGUUGUCUUGUACCUAGACAAGUGUUUGACUGCUGGGAGAAAGGCAACUAGUAGCUGGUGAGGAUUCUAGAUA